GAUUUGCAUUUUGGAAAGAUUACUCUGAUAUUCAGGUGGGGUGUGGACAGGAGAGAUUAACUGGAGGCAGAAUGGCCUAUUUAGAAGCUGGUAGAGGGAAAGACAUCUGGCCUAGCAAUUAAACUUCCAGUUAGGACACCCACAUUCCAUAUUGGAGUGCCUGGGUUCAAGUCCAGGCUGCAGCUCCCAACUCCAGCUUCCUGCCUAUGCACACCCUGGGAGGCAGCAGGUGAUGGCUCAAGUAGUUGAGUCCCUGCCACUCAUUUGGGAGACCCAAAAUGGAGUUCCUAGCUCCUGGUUUUGGCCUGGCCCAGCUCUGGCCAUUCCAGGCAUUUGGGAGUGAACCAGAGGAUGGAAGCUCUCUCUCUUUCUCUCUGUCCCAUUGCCUUUCAAAUAAAAUUUUCUAAAGACUUAUAUAUUUGAAAGGCAGUGUGACAGAGGGGGAGACACACACACGAGUGUGUGAGCAAAAGAGACACACCAGAGUGAGAGCAGAAGAGAUGAGGGAGAGAGAGAGAUUGAAAUUGUCCAUUAACUGGUGACUUCCCAGAUGACUGCAACAGCCGGGUAUCAGGGACACAAGCCCUCUAGCCAUCAUGUGCUUCCUCCCACACACAUCAUCAGGGAGCUGGAUUGGAAACAGAGUGGUCAGGACCCAAACUGGAACUUCAACAUGGGAUGCAGAUUCCAAAGUGAUGACUUAACACACUAUACCUCAAUGUCAGAUGCAAGUUAAUUUAAACAAUUUUUCUUUUAAAAAGAACUAUUUGAAUCACCCAGGGGUGGGGUAAUAAAUUCCAGACUAUGCUCCAAACACUGGAACUGAGGAAAGACAGUGCCUGGGAUACAAAGUCAGAGAAAAGACCACAGAUCCGGACUACCCAUUAGAGAUGGGAAGGGGAAGUGGAGUUAAGUUAAGGCUGAUACUAUCCUGGUUUCUGAAUAGUGAGACUGGGAUGAGAAAGCAGGAUUCUGUGGGAGGGGAAGAUGAUGACUUCAGAAUUAUUCAAGUUGAGUUUGAAAAGCACCUGGGCUAUAUAAAAGGCGAUGCCUACAAAGAAAUGGAGAGCCAGAUCUGGAGGUUAGAAGAGAGUUAUGAGCUGGAGAUAAAGGUGGGCAGGAAAUAUCCAUGAGCCUCAGGUUCGUGAUCUGCAAAAUGGGGAUGCAAUCUCUUUCCUCGAGCUACUGUGAUGAUUAGAUGAUGUAACGUGUUGAGUGUGCCUGGCUCCGUGCAGACACACAGCAGGUGCUCAGGAAGCACUGAUUCUUUCAGCAGGUUCCACCCAUGAGUUCCCACGUGGUCAAACCCACCAACGUCUUUGCAGCUGCUAUUUCUUCCUCUAGUACUGGCAAGACCCACAUCUGUGCUUCCAAUGUCCCCAGUGCAGUGGUGGGAAGAUGCUGCUAGAAGCAGUUGUGGAAAAGAGGUAGUGAAGGCAGCUCCAUCCUAGAGCAGGAAGAGGGCUGAGCAGUUGGGGUACACAAUGGGGAGAACUCUGUUCUGGGAAGGAGGGAUACAAACUGCUUGCCCCAACCCAGCUGCCACCACAAUUAGCAAAUCUUGCUCGGUUCUAAGCCUCAGUUUCUCUACUGGUUCCGGGAGGGGUGUGCUUCUUAGGUCUGUCUCUGUUUCUACCUUUGCCUCCUUCUCUUUCCCAGGAAGCCUUUUGCCUUCUCUUGACCCACAGAAAACAUCACUUCCUUGAAGUCUUGGCUCUCUUUGAGCCUCCUGGCAGCUCCUUCCUGGGGCAGAGCGCCAAAAUCCCGACAAGACUAAGAAGAGGUUUUGGGAGUGGGCCAGGUCUGGGAAAACAGGAAAGAUGACGCAUGAAAUUUCCCUCCUUCUGGCGUUGCUGGUUUCAGGGCUCCCUCAACUGAGUUUUCUGAGUACACAGCAGCCCUGGACUUUGCAUCCUGGGCCCAACCUCCAGAAACUCCACUGCACUUACUGCAUCCUUAGUUAAAGAGCUCAUCAGAUAGGCUUGCUCCUGGGUCCACUUGGCCGACAGCACCAAACUCCUGAAAAGCAAGAAGCACACGGAUGAAUCUUAACUGAGCACCCAGCCGGUUCCAUGGGAGGAAUUCUCUUCUCAAAGGAGCCUCCCUCCAGCUCUUGAGGGGAGAGUGGAUAGUGAGAGAGAGAGAGACAGAGAGAAAGGUCUUCCUUUUCCGUUGGUUCACCCUCCAAUGGCUGCUGCGGCCGGUGCGCUGCAGUCGGCGCACUGCACUGAUCCAAAGCCUGGAGCCACAUGCUUCUCCUGGUCUCCCAUGCGGGUGCAGGGCCCAAGCCAUCCUCCACUGCACUCCUGGGCCACAGCAGAGAGCUGGACUGGAAGAGGAGCAACCGGGACAGAAUCUGGCACCCCAACCAGGCCUAGAACCUGGGGUGUCGGCGCCACAAGCAGAGGAUUAGCCUAUUGAGCUGCAGCGCUGGCCACUGACCCUGUUAUCUUAUUAUUGAUACUGAAAAAGGAGUCAGCUCCACAUUUCUAAAACCCAAUUAAAAGGCUUUAGUCAUUUCGGCAAAAACUUAUAAAUAUCUGAAAUUCAUAAAUUCAUCAAGGACUGCUUUCAUCAUGCAACUCUUUAUUCUUAGUAACCCUUAUCUGAAAAAGCAUUUUGGAGCACUUGACCUUGGAGGAUUCUCCAGGAAGGAACUGUUUUUGCUAAACUGGAGGCUUCAGCAGGGACCUUCACUGAGGAGAGUUGUAAGAAACAGUCAUGGGAAACUGGCUGCUGGAUUUACGGCAGGAUCUCGAUGAGGACAGAGUUCAUUCAUCUGUCCAGAAGAAAUUUCUUCUCCAUCUCCGUAGCAGGAAUAGGCAUUUUCCUUGGGAGAAGCUAUUUUACUUUCAGCUGAUAGGCCUCACGAGUCACAUGAUGGACCAACCACCUUUUUUUUUUUUUUUUUUUCACAGCAACUCUUAGGAGGCUUAAUGUCAGAUGUGUAACCCAGGGUUUCCAAUACCUAGGCUUCCAUAAACUACAUUGUUUUCACUAACCUCACCUGACUGCUCUUAGUUUUCUUUCUCCCACUUCCCCUAUGUCCUUAUUCCUUCACCUUCCUGAUUUUUACAUUUUUUUUCCUCCUGAGUUAUCAGCUCUUACGCUGGGCACAUCAGGAAUAUGGAAAUUACAGUAGUUAAGUUGCCUUGGAGAGUCCGAUGCUGGGAUCAGCUCAGCCUGUUCAGAGAAAUGCAGAAGCUCCAGGUGGAGACAGGACAGCUGCAGGCACCAACACUUGUCACCUGGCUGGAUGUGGUCCCUAACAGUGUCUCCCUUCCCAGCACCGCCUCCUCGCCACACUCCUGCCUGGGGAUUAACUGACCAGGUUCUACUCUUGGUAUUUGACCAGCCUCCUCCUGCGGACUAUAAAGGCUGGACCAUUUCCUACGUGUCCUGAAAGCAAAGGCAACAAUCAGUCUGUCAUUUAAACAAGAGGAGAUUUACGACCUUUGGCUAAAAGAACUGUUUUUACAAGAGCAAUACUUGAUUGGUUCCCUGCUGGGGCAGCUUCCAAGGAGUCUCCUGAGUGUUUAUUUCUGUUGUUCCUGUAUUGUCUCUGUGGUUGAGUCCGGACCUGGGGCCAGCAAGUCAGGCAGAGUGGACAGUGAGAAAGAGAGACAGAGAGAAAGGUCUUCCUUUGCCGUUGGUUCACCCUCCAAUGGCCGCCACGGCUGGCGUGCUGUGGCCGGUGCACCGCGCUGAUCCGAAGACAGGAGCCAGGUGCUUCUCCUGGUCUCCCAUGGGGUGCAGGACCCAAGCACUUGAGCCAUCCUCCACUGCACUCCCUGGCCACGGCAGAGAGCUGGCCUGGAAGAGGGGCAACCGGGACAGAAUCCGGUGCCCCGACUGGGACUAGAACCCAGGGUGCCGGCGCCACUAGCCAGAGGAUUAGCCUAGUGAGCCGCGGCGCUGGCCAUCACUCAUUCAUUCUACAAACAUGUGUCAUGCUACCGCUUCUACAAGGUUGAAUGUCACGUGCUAGGGAUUCCAGCAGAGAAAGCAGGUACGGAAAGGGCUCCAGUAUGCAGAGUUGUUGACAUAGUUACUGUCUGCUCCCCAUCUGCCCCAGCUCUUUGGUGCCCCCUGCCCUAUUGAGGUAUCUAGGGGGGGGUCCAGCUCACUUUUCCAGAUCCCCUCUCUUCUCAUAGGCAGGGAGGGGUUGAGAAGCAGAAGUGAAACCUCAUCGGAUGCUCUGGUGAUCUCAAAUACAUUUUCGUCUCCAGAGUCUGGGUGAGAGGGCCUGGGCCUGGCUGCCACUUCUGAGAGUCCAGUGGGCCUUGUUCAGGGUGUAUGCUGUGCCCAACAGGAUGCCAUGAUCAGCCAGUGUCUCUUUUGGAACCAUCCCCCACGCAAGGCAGGUGGACAGGACACCUGGCUGUUGUAACUCAACUCUUUCCCUUGCAAUUCACUCAGCUGGUGAAGGCAACUGUUUGUUGAAUGAACAGAUGAGUCUCAUUUGGGUUCCAAGCCCAGGUGGGCAGCUCAGCAGCUGCGAGGCCCCGAGCAAACUGCUUUCCUUGCUGAGUUUCCUCUUUGUCAUCAUCAAGAGAGAACAAUGAGACCCACUAGGGUUGUACCUUCACUCAUCCGUUUCACAGUUUUGCUUUAAAACCGUUUUUUUUUCUUUAUUGUGAAAUAAACACAAAGGAAACCACACAAGACAAACGUAUGAUUUAAUGAGGUAUCCUAAGGCAAACAUCACUGUAACCAGUGUUACAAUGUCUCCCCAAGGUAAGACAGGACUUUGCAAGAACCUGCAUCCCCAACUCCCUCGAGAUGACUCUCCUUUUCUUAGCUCCCUCACUUCCUCUUAUGAUGAAUGAGUAACAUGACAUUUUAAGUAAUAACUUUCUUGUAUAUUUUAUCAGGCAAGUGUGUAUCCUCAGAUACUAUUGUUUAGACUUGCCCAUUAAACAAAACAUAUCUUUUGGCUUGGGUGUUUUACAUAGUAGUUCAGACACCACUUGGGAUGCCCAUAUCCCAUAUCAGAGCACUGGGUUCAAGUCUUGCCUUCAAUUCCAGUUUCCUGCUAGUGUGCGCCCUGGGAGGAAGCAGUUGAUGGCUCAAGUACUUGGGUCCCUGCCACCCCUGUGGGAGACCCUGAGUGAAUUCCCAGCUCUUGAUUUUGGGCUGUCCCAGCCCUGGCUGUUUUAGGCAUUUGGGAAGUGAACCAGCAGAUGGGAGAUCUGUCUUUGUCUCUCUCUUUCUCUCUGCCUUUCAAUAAAUACAAAUAAAAAUACAUCUUUAAGGUCUCUUUUAGUCUCUAGAUCCCCCUCAGCCCUUUCUUUUCUUUGCUAGUUAUCCUUUCUGCCUGGAGAGUUUCCCACAACCUGGCGUUUGCUGACUGCGUCCUCCUGGUGCAGUUUAAUGCGCUUCUUGGUCGUUGUGCUUCCUUCCUGUAAAUUGGAAUGGGAUCCAGGGGCUUGAUCAGACUCGGCCACAAUCCCUUCAGCUGGAUCCCUGCGGGAGAGCUGUUCUUUUGUGGGGAGGCACAUCGAUGUUGGGUGACUGGUGAUGCUCAUUAUAGGUCAAAUGUUAAUCUGCUGGGGACGGCAAAGUGGUAACAUUCCAGUCCUAGCCUUUCUUUGUCAUUCAUUGGUGGGACUACUUUUAUAGACACUUUCCCUCAUUCUUCUUGGUACUUGUUGGUACAGAACAGUUCAUGUAAGAAAAGCAGCAUAAGUGCUAGAUUCUUCACCCCCCCCCCCUUUAAACUAGAUCUCAAGAGAAUUAAUUGAUUCUUUAGCUAUAUUGAGAAUUAGAUGCUCAAGGAUGCAGGGAAUGAGGGAAUAUCCCAUAAUGGUUUUUUUCUUGCUUUAUCCCACAUUAUACACACGAGUCUCAAAUGUUAACAGUAAUAUCACCAACAUCAUAAUUAUUGGAAAUGGUUAAAACAUUUUGAAAACAUUGGCUUUUCCCAUUUUCCAUGUUUUUUAUGAUUACUAUUAUUUUAAAAUUUCUUUAUUUGAGAGGCAGAGGAACAGAGAUAGAUUAGAUAGAGCAGCCCACCCACUGGUUUACUCCCCACAUGCCUGCAACCACUGGAGCUAGGCAGGGGCUGAAGCCAGGAGCCUGGAUUUCAGGCCACAUCUCUCACACAGCGGCAGGAGUCCAAUGACUUGAGCCAUCACCAUUGCCUUCCAGGAUCUGCAUUAGCAGGAAACUGAAUCAGGAACCAAAGCUGGGUACCUAACCCAGGUACUCCAGUGUCGGAAGUGGGCAUCUUAACCUCCAGGCUAACCAUCCUCCUCCACUCUCCAUAUUUAAGAAGUCGCUGGGGCCAGUGCUGUGGCACAGCGGGUUAAAGCCCCGGCCUGCUGUGCUAGCAUCUCAUAUGGAUUCUCGUUUGAGUCUCGGCUGCUCUACUUCCCAUCCAGCUCUCUGCUGUGGCCUGGGAAAGCAGUGGAAGAUGGCCCAAGUGCUUGGGCCCCUGCACCCGAGUUGGGGACCUGGAAGAAGCUCCUGGCUCCUGGCUUCGGAUCCGUGCAGCUCUGGCCCUUGUGGCUAACUGGCGAGUGAACCAGCAGAUGGAAAACCUUUCUCUCUCUCUCUCUCUCUCUCUGCCUCUUCCUCUCUGUAAUUCUGCCUUUCAAAUAAAUAAAAUGAAUCUUAAAAAAAAAAGUAGUCUUGUAGCUACAUUGUCAGGGCAUAGAGGUUUCAAUGCUCUAUUGUCUGCUUUCCUGUCCCCAUGUAGUCUUAGCUGUACAAGUAACUAUCUAUUUAAUAUUCACUGCAAGUCCUUUUAUUUUAGUUUUUCUAGUCAUUUUGGUUAUAUGAAGCUUUUUAUAAGGCAGGUGCUGGUUCAAGAAGGGCUCAGCAGGUUGUCAUCUGAGUUCUUGCUUGUUAAUAACAAUUUACCUGGGCCCAUCCUUAUUUCCAAGUCAGUUUUGCUGGACAUAAAAUUUAUUAUUGUAUUCUUUGUUCUGGAGUAUCUUGAAUCCGUUACUUCAUUUUCUCCUGGUGUAAGGCAUCGCUUUUGAAAAGCUUGAAAAUUUUAUUUAUUUAAUGUAAAUAAAUUAUUUUUCCUGUCAUUUAUUUAUUUUUUUAUUUAGAUGCUUGAAAGAUUUUUUCCCCUUAUCUCCUUGAAGUCCAAUACUUUUAUUAGAAUAUGCCUGAUUAUUCUGGACUGAUAUUUCAUGUUUGCAGUAAGCUCUUCCAGUACACAAUUUUGAUUUUUACAAAACUUCAGUAGGGGCUGGGGCUGUGGUGCAGCUGUUGAAAUUUCUCGGCCUAAUAUUUGUUUUUUUCUCCAGAAUAUUUCUCCAUUUUUUAUCGAUUU